rnacentral:rRNA from 1 species
UACGGAGGGUGCGAGCGUUGUCCGGAAUCACUGGGCGUAAAGGGCGCGUAGGUGGCGCGAUGAGUCAACGGUGAAAGCUCGACGCUCAACGUCGAGUCGGCCGUCGAUACUGUCGCGCUCGAGCACUGUAGAGGCCAAUGGAAUCCGGGUGUAGCGGUGGAAUGCGUAGAGAUCCGGAAGAACACCGGUGGCGAAGGCGGUGGCUGG